rnacentral:rRNA from 1 species
UAAAGAUUCAUCGCUGAUAGAUAGGCAUGCGUUCCAUUAGGCAGUUGGCGGGGUAACGGCCCACCAAACCGACGAUGGAUAGGGGUUCUGAGAGGAAGGUCCCCCACAUUGGUACUGAGACACGGACCAAACUCCUACGGGAGGCAGCAGUGAGGAAUAUUGGUCAAUGGGCGUAAGCCUGAACCAGCCAAGUCGCGUGAGGGAUGAAGGUUCUAUGGAUCGUAAACCUCUUUUAUAAGGGAAUAAAGUGUGGGACGUGUCCUGUUUUGUAUGUACCUUAUGAAUAAGGAUCGGCUAACUCCGUGCCAGCAGCCGCGGUAAUACGGAGGAUCCGAGCGUUAUCCGGAUUUAUUGGGUUUAAAGGGUGCGUAGGCGGCCUUUUAAGUCAGCGGUGAAAGUCUGUGGCUCAACCAUAGAAUUGCCGUUGAAACUGGGAGGCUUGAGUAUGUUUGAGGCAGGCGGAAUGCGUGGUGUAGCGGUGAAAUGCUUAGAUAUCACGCAGAACCCCGAUUGCGAAGGCAGCCUGCCAAGCCAUGACUGACGCUGAUGCACGAAAGCGUGGGGAUCAAACAGGAUUAGAUACCCUGGUAGUCCACGCAGUAAACGAUGAUCACUAGCUGUUUGCG